rnacentral:rRNA from 1 species
GGUCCAGACUCCUACGGGAGGCAGCAGUGGGGAAUAUUGCACAAUGGGGGGAACCCUGAUACAGCGACGCCGCGUGGGUGAAGGAGCACCUCGGUGCGUAAAGCCCUAUCGGCAGGGAAGAAACAGACGGUACCUGACUAAGAAGCACCGGCUAACUCCGUGCCAGCAGCCGCGGUAAUACGGAGGGUGCAAGCGUUAUCCGGAUUUACUGGGUGUAAAGGGGGCGCAGACGGCGAUGCAAGCCAGGAGUGAAAGCCCGGGGCCCAACCCCGGGACUGCUCUUGGAACUGCGUGGCUGGAGUGCAGGAGGGGCAGGCGGAAUUCCUGGUGUAGCGGUGAAAUGCGUAGAUAUCAGGAGGAACACCGGUGGCGAAGGCGGCCUUCUGGACUGCAACUGACGUUGAGGCCCGAAAGCGUGGGGAGCAAACAGGAUUAGAUACCCCUGUA